rnacentral:lncRNA from 1 species
CAGACCCCUGGUUUCACGCCCCCCUCAGCCUCCCGGCGUGCUCCCCGACCAGGGCAUGACCUGGAGGAAGUGACUGCGGCUUAACGGUAGAGGAUGUGCCCUCUGUACCCGAAGGGAGCCUCCCUGAUGCUCCUGUGAUCCUUGGCCAGGAUUCCAGGCGCCUGACCCACGGGUCCUAUUCGAGAGAUUGUGAGUGAUGGGUGAAGGCCCCAAAAAUUGUCUACAGCUUUCUUCAGGCUAUGUGUAUAACUCAGGGAAGGGGCCUCUGUAUUCAGAAGGGCAGCACCAUGAAUUUAAAAUCCUCAGCCCCCUAGAUUCCUGGACCCCAUGUCACUCCCCCACCUGCCUGCUGGACCCUGGGGCCACAGGCUGGUUUAAUUGCUGGCCUGGCUCAUGGCCCACUUCCUCCCCCAGGACAUCUACGAGAACCUGGACCUCCGGCAGAGAAGGGCCUCCAGCCCCGGAUACAUCGACUCCCCCACCUACAGCCGGCAGGGCAUGUCCCCCACCUUUUCCCGCUCGCCUCACCACUACUACCGCUCCGCUGGAGAGAGUAACAUCUACCGGAAACCCCCGAUCUACAAACGGCAUGGCGAUUUGUCAACAGCAACCAAGAGCAAAACAAGUGAAGACAUCAGCCAGGCCUCCAAGUACAGUCCAGCCUACUCACCGGACCCCUACUAUGCUGCAGAGUCCGAGUACUGGACCUACCAUGGGUCCCCCAAAGUGCCCCGAGCCAGAAGGUUCUCAUCUGGAGGAGAGGAGGACGACUUCGACCGCAGCAUGCACAAGGUGAGUGGCGUCCACCCUGGACGAGAUGCCUAGACAGGUGUUACUGAGGAUUUGAUCAUUUGCUAGUGACAGAAACCAAAUUCAAACCCACUUACGGUAGAAAAAAGAAACAUGUAGCUUUGCAUAACCCAAAAGUUAAAGGGGAGGGGAAGUUUCAGGUAUGGCUAGAUCCGGCUGUUCAGCAAAUUGCCAUAGGAAAGUUGUCUCUCUCUUCUCCUGUGCUGGCUCACCGCUGCGUUGGCCUCAUGCCCGGGGAAGGUUCUUCUUCUGUGGUGACAAGUGGGUGCCCGCAGCU